rnacentral:rRNA from 1 species
GACAGAGGGUGCAAGCGUUGUUCGGAAUCAUUGGGCGUAAAGGGCGCGUAGGCGGUUUUGUAAGUCGAAUGUGAAAGCCCAGGGCUCAACCUUGGAAGUGCAUCCGAAACUGCGAAACUUGAAUCCUGGAGAGGGUGGUGGAAUUCCCAGUGUAGAGGUGAAAUUCGUAGAUAUCGGGAGGAACACCAGUGGCGAAGGCGGCGACCUGGGCCAAUACUGACACUGAGGUGCGAAAGCGUGGGGAGCAAACAGG